AAUCUUGUCCUACUGCUCGCCGCGCUCGCCAUGAACGUUGCACUUGUUUAUUUCGGCUGACCAGGAG
rnacentral:misc_RNA from 1 species